rnacentral:rRNA from 1 species
GAUGAACGCUGGCGGCGUGCUUAACACAUGCAAGUCGAACGGAAAGGCCUCUGCUUGCAGGGGUACUCGAGUGGCGAACGGGUGAGUAACACGUGGGUGAUCUGCCCUGCACUUCGGGAUAAGCCUGGGAAACUGGGUCUAAUACCGGAUAGGACAAUGGUUUGGAUGCUGUUGUGGAAAGUUUUUCGGUGUGGGAUGAGCUCGCGGCCUAUCAGCUUGUUGGUGGGGUAAUGGCCUACCAAGGCGUCGACGGGUAGCCGGCCUGAGAGGGUGUACGGCCACAUUGGGACUGGGAGUCGGCCCACACCCGUACGGGAGGCAGCAGUGGGGAAUAUUGCACAAUAGGAGCAGACCUGAUGCCGCGACGCCGCGUGGGGGCUGACGGCCUUCGGGUUGUAAACACCUUUCGCUAGGGACGAAGCGUUUUUGUGACGGUACCUGGAGAAGAAGCACCGGCUAACUACGUG